rnacentral:lncRNA from 1 species
CAAGUGCUCAGAUCUCCUUCAGCAGUCCAUCUUGGGUGAAAAUGUUUGCUCCCAUCAGCAAGAUUUAGCAUGGUUUCAAUUCCAUGUUUGAAAAUCAUCUUUACAACUCGCCUGCAACAUGCAAUCAGCUCCUCCUUUCUAGUCACGUUUGCUCAUGAAUAUUUUCUGUGGUCAUCUAUCCAUACUGAAGGGCUAUGCACUUACCUGCCACGAUACUUCAGUGUUUGUUGGGAAUCGAAGCCAAGUCUUGGAGAUGGUGCUGCCAGAUUCUCUGAGGAGACUGAGAAUAUGUGGUCCC